CGGUAAUACGUAGGGUGCGAGCGUUAAUCGGAAUUACUGGGCGUAGGACGUGCGCAGGCGGAUUGUUAAGCAAGACGUGAAAUCCUCAGACUUAACUCGGAGAUGGCGUCUCGAACUGGCAGUCUAGAGUGUGUCAGAGGGGGGUGGAAUUCCACGUGUAGCAGUGAAAUGCGUAGAGAUGUGGAGGAACACCGAUGGCGAAGGCAGCCCUUUGGGAUAACACUGACGCUCAUGUACGAAAGCGUGGGUAGCAAGUAGGAUUAGAUACCUCGGUAGUCCACGCCCUAAACGAUGUCAACUGGUUGUUGGGGGAGUGAAAUCCCUUAGUAACGAAGCUAACGCGUGAAGUUGACCGUUCGGGGAGUACGGUCGCAAGAUUAAA
rnacentral:rRNA from 1 species